GGAAUAUUGCGCAAUGGGGGAAACCCUGACGCAGCGACGCCGCGUGGGUGAUGAAGGCCUUCGGGCCGUAAAGCCCUGCCGUAGGGGAAGAAUCGGCGGACGGAGAAUCCCCGGCCAUCUUGACGGUACCCUACAAGAAAGCACCGGCUAACUCUGUGCCAGCAGCCGCGGUAAUACGGAGGGUGCAAGCGUUGUUCGGAAUUACUGGACGUAAAGCGCGUGCAGGCGGCCGAUUAAGUCCGGUGUGAAAGCCCGGGGCUCACCCCCGGAAGUGCGCUGGAUACUGGUCGGCUAGAGUACGGGAGAGGGAAGCGGAAUUCCUGGUGUAGCGGUGAAAUGCGUAGAUAUCAGGAGGAACACCGGCGGCGAAGGCGGCUUCCUGGACCGAUACUGACGCUGAGACGCGAAAGCGUGGGGAGCAAA
rnacentral:rRNA from 1 species